rnacentral:tRNA from 1 species
GAGGGUAUAGCUCAAGUGGUAGAGUGCAUGCUUAGCAUGCACAAGGUCCUGGGUUCAAUCCCCAGCACUUCCU